rnacentral:rRNA from 1 species
UGCGCAACAGACCUUGAGAGGGAGAUCGGCCACAGUAGGAUUGAGACACGGCCCAGGCUCCUACGGGAGGCAGCAGUAGGRAAUCUUCCGCAAUGGAAGAAAGUCUGACGGAGCAACGCCGCGUGAGUGAUGAAGGUUUUCGGAUCGUAAAGCUCUGUUGUUAGGGAAGAACAAGUACCGUUCGAAUAGGGCGGUACCUUGACGGUACCUAACCAGAAAGCCACGGCUAACUACGUGCCAGCAGCCGCGGUAAUACGUAGGUGGCAAGCGUUGUCCGGAAUUAUUGGGCGUAAAGGGCUCGCAGGCGGUUUCUUAAGUCUGAUGUGAAAGCCCCCGGCUCAACCGGGGAGGGUCAUUGGAAACUGGGGAACUUGAGUGCAGAAGAGGAGAGUGGAAUUCCACGUGUAGCGGUGAAAUGCGUAGAGAUGUGGAGGAACACCAGUGGCGAAGGCGACUCUCUGGUCUGUAACUGACGCUGAGGAGCGAAAGCGUGGGGAGCGAACAGGAUUAGAUACCCUGGUAGUCCACGCCGUAAACGAUGAGUGCUAAGUGUUAGGGGGUUUCCGCCCCUUAGUGCUGCAGCUAACGCAUUAAGCACUCCGCCUGGGGAGUACGGUCGCAAGACUGAAACUCAAAGGAAUUGACGGGGGCCCGCACAAGCGGUGGAGCAUGUGGUUUAAUUCGAAGCAACGCGAAGAACCUUACCAGGUCUUGACAUCCUCUGACAAUCCUAGAGAUAGGACGUCCCCUUCGGGGGCAGAGUGACAGGUGGUGCAUGUGUUGUCGUCAGCUUCC